AUUGAACGCUGGCGGCAGGCUUAACACAUGCAAGUCGAGCGGAGAUGAGGUGCUUGCACCUUAUCUUAGCGGCGGACGGGUGAGUAAUGCUUAGGAAUCUGCCUAUUAGUGGGGGACAACAUUCCGAAAGGAAUGCUAAUACCGCAUACGUCCUACGGGAGAAAGCAGGGGAUCUUCGGACCUUGCGCUAAUAGAUGAGCCUAAGUCGGAUGAUAGCUAGUUGGUGGGGUAAAGGCCUACCAAGGCGACGAUGUGUAGCGGGUCUGAGAGGAGGAUAGGACACACUAGGACUGAGACACGGCCCAGACGCCGAAGGGGGGUAGCAGUGGGGAAUAUUGGACAAUGGGGGGAACCCUGAUCCAGCCAUGCCGCGUGUGUGAAGAAGGCCUUAUGGUUGUAAAGCACUUUAAGCGAGGAGGAGGCUACUGAGACUAAUACUCUUGGAUAGUGGACGUUACUCGCAGAAUAAGCACCGGCUAACUCUGUGCCAGCCGCCGCAGUAA
rnacentral:rRNA from 1 species